rnacentral:lncRNA from 1 species
AAGUUAUAAAAAAACUAGAGGCUCUAAAGAGCCUGUGUCGCUCACCUUGGUCUAUGUGCAUAUUAAACAAAGGACACAAAUGGAUUCAUGACAAAAUUGUAUUUUGGUGAUGGUGAUGUGUUUGAAGUUCUUUCUUUACUGAACGAUUUUGCUUCUUACAAUUAUAUCUAUAAUGAACUUUGCCCAUUAGUAACAGAGAACUAUAUUUGGUAAAAAUUUACAUAAAUUUACCAAAUUAAUGAAAAUUGUUAAAAAUUGACUAUAAAGGGCAAUAACUCCUUAAGGGGUCAACUGACCAUUUUGGUCAUGUUGACUUAUUUGUAGAUCUUACUUUGCUGAACAUUAUUGCUGUUUACAAUUUAUCUCUAUCUAUAAUAAUAUUCAAGAUAAUAACCAAAAACAGCAAAAUUUCCUCAAAAUUACCAACUCAGGGGCAGCAACCCAACAACCGAUUGACCGAUUCAUCUGAAAAUUUCAGGGCAGAUAGAUCUUGACCUGAUAAACAUUUUUAUUCCAUGUCAGAUUUCCUCAAAAUGCUUUGGUUUUUGAGUUAUAAGCCAAAAACUGCAUUUUACCCCUAUGUUCUAUUUUUAGCGGUGGCGGCCAUCUUGGUUGGUUGACCAGGUCAUGCCACACAUUUUUAGCUCACCUGGCCCGAAGGGCCAAGUGAGCUUUUCUCAUCACUUGGCGUCCGGCGUCCGUCGUCCGUCGUCCGUCGUCCGUCGUCCGUCGUCGUCGUCGUCGUUAACUUUUACAAAAAUCUUCUCCUCUGAAACUACUGGGCCAAAUCAAACCAAACUUGGCCACAAUCAUCAUUGGGGUAUCUAGUUUAAAAAAUGUGUGGCGUGACCCGGUCAACCAACCAAGAUGGCCGCCACGGCUAAAAAUAGAACAUAGGGGUAAAAUGCAGUUUUUGGC